CAAUAGCGUAUAUUAAAGUUGUUGCGGUUAAAAAGCUCGUAGUUGGAUUUCUGCUGAGGACGACCGGUCCGCCCUUCGGGUGAGUAUCUGGUUUGGCCUUGGCAUCUUCUUGGUGAACGUAUCUGCACUUGACUGUGUGGUGCGGUACCCAGGACUUUUACUUUGAGGAAAUUAGAGUGUUUCAAGCAGGCAUACGCCUUGAAUACAUUAGCAUGGAAUAAUAAGAUAGGACCUCGGUUCUAUUUUGUUGGUUUCUAGAGCUGAGGUAAUGAUUAAUAGGGAUAGUUGGGGGCAUUCGUAUUUAACUGUCAGGGGUGAAAUUCUUGGAUUUGUUAAAGACGGACUACUGCGAAAGCAUUUGCCAAGGAUGUUUUCAUUGA
rnacentral:rRNA from 1 species